UACGUAGGGGGCAAGCGUUGUCCGGAAUCAUUGGGCGUAAAGCGCGUGUAGGCGGCCCGGUAAGUCCGCUGUGGAAGUCGGGGGCUCAACCCUCGAAUGCCGGUGGAUACUGUCGGGCUAGAGUGCGGAAGAGGCGAGUGGAAUUCCUGGUGUAGCGGUGAAAUGCGCAGAUAUCAGGAGGAACACCAAUGGCGAAGGCAGCACUCUGGGACGUGACUGACGCUGAGACGCGAAAGCGUGGGGAGCAAACAGG
rnacentral:rRNA from 1 species